GCCUAAAGCGUCCGUAGCCUGAUCUAUAAGUGUCCGGUUAAAUCCACAUGCUCAACAUUUGGGCUGCCGGAAAAACUGUAGAUCUAGGGAGUGGGAGAGGUAGACGGUACUCGAUAGGAAGGGGUAAAAUCCUUUGAUCUAUUGAUGACCACCAGUGGCGAAGGCGGUCUACCAGAACACGUUCGACGGUGAGGGAUGAAAGCUGGGGGAGCAAACCGGAUUAGAUACCCGGGUAGUCCCAGCUGUAAACGAUGCAGACUCGGUGAUGCAUUGGCUUGUGGCCAGUGCAGUGCCGCAGGGAAGCCGUUAAGUUUGCCGCCUGGGAAGUACGUACGCAAGUAUGAAACUUAAAGGAAUUGGCGGGGGAGCACCACAAGGGGUGAAGCCUGCGGUUCAAUUGGAGUCAACGCCAGAAAUCUUACCCGGAGAGACAGCAGAAUGAAGGUCAAGCUGAAGACUUUACCAGACAAGCUGAGAGGCGGUGCAUGGCCGUCGCCAGCUCGUGCCGUGAGAUGUCCUGUUAAGUCAGGUAACGAGCGAGACCCUUGCCUCUAGUUGCCACCAUUGCUCUCUGGAGCAGUGGGGCGAAUUAGCGGGACCGCCGCAGUUAAUGCGGAGGAAGGAAAGGGCUACGGCAGGUCAGUAUGCCCCGAA
rnacentral:rRNA from 1 species